GAUGAACGCUGGCGGCGUGCCUAAUACAUGCAAGUCGAGCGAACAGACGAGGAGCUUGCUCCUCUGACGUUAGCGGCGGACGGGUGAGUAACACGUGGAUAACCUACCUAUAAGACUGGGAUAACUUCGGGAAAUCGGAGCUAAUACCGGAUAAUAUAUUGAACCGCAUGGUUCAAUAGUGAAAGACGGUUUUGCUGUCACUUAUAGAUGGAUCCGCGCCGCAUUAGCUAGUUGGUAAGGUAACGGCUUACCAAGGCAACGAUGCGUAGCCGACCUGAGAGGGUGAUCCGCCACACUGGAACUGAGACACGGUCCAGACUCCUACGGGAGGCAGCAGUAGGGAAUCUUCCGCAAAGGGCGAAAGCCUGACGGAGCAACGCCGCGUGAGUGAUGAAGGUCUUCGGAUCGUAAAACUCUGUUAUUAGGGAAGAACAAAUGUGUAAGUAACUAUGCACGUCUUGACGGUACCUAAUCAGAAAGCCACGGCUAACUACGUG
rnacentral:rRNA from 1 species